AGCACUUAAAUAUAAUGUCUGACCGAAAGUGUAGUUGAUUAUUAUUUAAGUAUUAUGAUUUGGAGUAUGGUUAGCAUUAAUCCGUCGUGCACAUGUAGAUGACUGAUAACUGUUGAUUGAUAUUCAAAUUUCAAAAUGAAUCUCACGUUAUACAAUCAUUCACAGUCACUAUAAUUGCUUGAAUCACUUUUGUUUAGAAAUGUUUUUGUAGAAAACACUUUUUGCUUAAAAGCGCUUAUGCUGAUAGCAUUUUUAAUUACUAGAAAUCUAUAAAUUUAUAUUAAAUUUUGAGUUUUUCUUAAAAUAAAAAACAUAUGCACUUCGAGUCAAUUCUUGUGGAAUCACCAAUUAGAUACAUCCAAAAUACCUUAAAUAACGUAUGUAACUGAAAAACAAGUUAAACUAUUUUGGAUAACACUACCAAAACAUUUUCCUUUUUCUGAAAGUGUUAAUAAAACAUGUAAAAACACUUUACAUGUUCGAAAAUAAAUGAGGUUUGAGAUGAAACAAAUAAGGACAUAUAAAAAAUGACACAUACAAUCUAUUAAAGAAAAAAUAAAGAAAAAAACCGUCACAUAACUUAAACACAGAAUGUAGAAAUUGUAAUGACUUCGAUACUUGGUUGUGGUUAGCGUUAAUAUUAUAGUGGUGUAACUUUAUUGUGAGUGUCUUGAUCCAUUUUAAAAGUACUUCAUAAAUCUCAUAUCGCUUCUAAAUAAUAAUAAUAAUAAUAAAUAAAAAAAAUCGAGUGCUAUUUGCUUUUGAGAAAAAAAAAAUUAAAACCUUGGACUUGCUUUAAAAUGGCCACGAAGUUAGGUGGAGCCAUGAUCUAAUUGACAAUCCCACAACAUUAUGUAUUUCAUACGACGAGAUUAGGUCGCAAAUAAAAUAAUUGAUAAUCACAACAACGUGGUGGGGACCUCGGAUUUGAUGAGACAUUAGGCUACUGUUAAUUACUUUUCUUGUGUCCGUAGACGCUUUUUGAUUGGUCGAUGAUAUUGUCGUUGUUGAGAUAAUCAAUGAAAGUUGUUAAUAUUUUAAUCCCUAAACGACAAAUUUGCAUGUCAUUAGGUUCCAUGAGGAGCACUUGCCC
rnacentral:lncRNA from 1 species